UACGUAGGGGGCAAGCGUUGUCCGGAAUCAUUGGGCGUAAAGCGCGUGUAGGCGGCCAGGUAAGUCCGUUCUGAAAGCCCGGGGCUCAACCCCGGGAGGCGGAUGGAUACUGCUUGGCUCGAGUCCGGAAGAGGCGAGUGGAAUUCCCGGUGUAGCGGUGAAAUGCGCAGAUAUCGGGAGGAACACCAAUGGCGAAGGCAGCUCGCUGGACGGUACUGACGCUGAGACGCGAAAGCGUGGG
rnacentral:rRNA from 1 species